rnacentral:lncRNA from 10 species
AUGCCCUAGGGCUAGUGGAAGACUUAAGAUGGCGGCGUUUGCACGGAGUGCAAUCACUGCGUCCUUACGGGGGUUGCAAGGCGUCCGAAGUAUGAGUCCACUAACAAAAGUCCAGAAACUCGCCAGUUAAUAGUAUUGUGGUGAGUGAUGAGCCUCACGUUGGCUAGAGAAGUGGCCGUUAGCGAGGCUACACACUUUGGGAUCGCGUGGCCUGAGUCGGGGGAGUAACCGGCCUGUAUUCCAUUUUUCUCUCUCCAGUCUCUUCAAAAUAUCGGAGAAUAAUUUCUUUCUCGCUGAUCGCCUAACUUCUACUGACGAAGCUUGGAAGUUGCAGAAGGUUGGAGUGCAAUGGCGCGAUCUCGGCUGACUGCAACCUCCACCUCCUGGAUUCAAGCUAUUCUCCUGCCUCAGCCUGCCGAGUAGCUGGGAUUACAGGCAUGUGCCACCGCACCCAGCUAAUUUUGUAUUUUUUAGUAGAGAUGGGGUUUCUCCAUGUUGGUCAGGCUGGUCUUGAACUCCUGACCUCAGGUGAUCCGCCCACCUCA